rnacentral:rRNA from 1 species
UACGUAGGGUGCGAGCGUUAAUCGGAAUUACUGGGCGUAAAGCGUGCGCAGGCGGCGCGUUAAGACAGGUGUGAAAAGCCCCGAGCUUAACUUGGGAAUUGCGCUUGUGACUGGCGAGCUGGAGUGUGGCAGAGGGAGGUGGAAUUCCACGUGUAGCAGUGAAAUGCGUAGAGAUGUGGAGGAACACCGAUGGCGAAGGCAGCCUCCUGGGCCAGCACUGACGCUCAUGCACGAAAGCGUGGGGAGCAAACAGG